GAUGUCACAUCGAAGUACAUGUGCAAGCGACAAAUUAAUUCCGGUCUAUUGAUGAAGCAGGAAAUGAAUAAUGAUUAAGAAAAGAAAAUAUCGAACAGUUACAAUGAUAAAAUAAACAUUACUACGAGGGUAGUAUAUCCACGACAUAUACAUAUAUUGUCAUGAUUUCGACCAAAAUCAAUAAUCAAAUGCAUUUUUAAGACUGUCUUCGACCGAUGGUUGACAAGUAGUGUGUAGAUGGAUAAUAGCAUUCGGCGAUGUUAAUCUCGGUCAACCUUAUGUGUAUACAUAACUUCAAUAAUAUAGGUACAGUCACCUCCAAUAAAGUGUCAGCGAUGGAGAAAUUGCAAAGAAUGCUAAGAAAAAAAGAACUCGGCUUGUACGAUCGCAUGUGUUCUCCAUAUUCCUUUAUGCCUCCAAAACGUGGACCCUACGAGAGAGUGAGAAAAAGAAGAUAGACGCGCUCGAGAUGUGGUGCUGGAGAAGAAUGCUGAAGAUACCUUGGACCACCAAUGUACUAAAAAGGCAGCGACUAGGUGGCGUCUAGUAAAGCAGAUCACUGAUACAUGAUGACCAUGACCAAUCUGACAAAACUGUAACGACGAAGAAGAAGAACUUUCGCACUUGUCUACAGAGUAUAGCUGACCAUUAAAUUGGUUAGAUCAUUGGUGUCUUGGAGAUAUAAAAGAACCACGGCUGACCAUUAAAUUGGUUAGAUCAUUGAAUUGUUAUAGGUAUAAAAGCACCACGGCUGACCAUUAAAUUGGUUGGAUGAUUCAUGUCUUACAAGUAUGAAAACUGCAUAGCUGACCAUUAAAUUGGUUAGAUCAUUGAAGUCUUGCAGAUAAAAUAGAACCACGGCUGACCAUUAAAUUGGUUAGAUCAUUGAAGUGUUACAGGUAUAAAAGCACUACAGCUGACCAUUAAAUUGGUUAGAUGAUUCAUGUCUUGCAAACAUGAAAGCUGCAUAGCGGACCAUUAAAUUGGUUAGAUCAGUCAUGUCUUACAGACAUGAAAGCAGCACGGCUGACCAUUAAAUUGGUUAGAUCAUCUCAUCGUUAAAUCGAUAAGUUCAUUUACAGCCUGAAAAGUUAUCAAGUACAUAAAUUAAGAAGAUUGAAACCCUGAUCGAUAAAUUGAUAUUACGAGUGGUAAGAAGUUUGAAGCUAAAAUUUGUGUGAGGCAAACUGUUAACUAAAUUAAGUUACAGAUUAAUAAACGCAGCACUCGGCGAGCAAGUCUAAUUGUUGUGCCGAAGGUGAGUGGAAAGAGAUAUAUGUAUAACAUACGAAGGAGUACAGCUUCAUAAGUUGUUACUGUCAUCUUUAUAAAUGUAAGUUCAGUUAAUCAAUUUAAAUCUAAGCUACCUGAAUACAUUUUAGAUUUUUGUAAAAAAGUAAAGUAAAUUUAAGUCAAAUCAAUGGCGACUAUAUUAUGUACAUUGUACGAUAUUGUUUUCAAGUAAGUGACUAUUCCUUUGUCUUUUUGAGAAGUAAUUCUUUUAACCCUGUUAUAAGCACCUUACUACAAAAUACGUAGUACAAAAUGAUAUAAAAUGUGAUUGACUAUUAGUCACGUUUUGUUAUGAAUAUUUACAAUAUGUAUAACGCAAUUUCUAAUAUUAUAUUGCCAGUUACUAAAGUCAUCAUAAUUGGCUUUAUUAACGAAUCCGUGGCUAAUGCUGGAUUGGUGAAGUUUCCAGAGAUACUAUUAACUACGAGUAUAUCAUAAUUAUUGGACCAAGUCAUGGAGGAAUUCAUUGUAAAAGUCGCUGUUUAGGCAACUCCUCGCUGAGGACACACUAGUCGCAGUCGGGGUAUGUUGAAGCUGGAUUUUGUUAUCA